rnacentral:rRNA from 1 species
UACGAAGGGGGCUAGCGUUGCUCGGAAUGACUGGGCGUAAAGGGCGCGCAGGCGGCUACGCACGUCCGUUGUGAAAUCUCCGGGCUCAACUCGGAGCCUGCAGGAGAAACUGCCGUGCUUGAGUAUGGGAGAGGUGAGUGGAAUUCCUGGUGUAGCGGUGAAAUGCGUAGAUAUCAGGAGGAACACCUGUGGCGAAAGCGGCUCACUGGACCAUAACUGACGCUGAGGCACGAAAGCUAGGGGAGCAAACAGG